GAUGAACGCUGGCGGCGUGCCUAAUACAUGCAAGUCGAGCGAACUGAUUAGAAGCUUGCUUCUAUGACGUUAGCGGCGGACGGGUGAGUAACACGUGGGCAACCUGCCUGUAAGACUGGGAUAACUUCGGGAAACCGAAGCUAAUACCGGAUAGGAUCUUCUCCUUCAUGGGAGAUGAUUGAAAGAUGGUUUCGGCUAUCACUUACAGAUGGGCCCGCGGUGCAUUAGCUAGUUGGUGAGGUAACGGCUCACCAAGGCAACGAUGCAUAGCCGAGCUGAGAGGGGGAGCGGCCACACUGGGACUGGGACACGGCCCAGACUCCUACGGGAGGCAGCAGUAGGGAAUCUUCCGCAAUGGACGAAAGUCUGACGGAGCAACGCCGCGUGAGUGAUGAAGGCUUUCGGGUCGUAAAACUCUGUUGUUAGGGAAGAACAAGUACGAGAGUAACUGCUCGUACCUUGACGGUACCUAACCAGAAAGCCACGGCUAACUACGUGCCAGCCGCCGCCGUAA
rnacentral:rRNA from 1 species